ensembl:lncRNA
UUAAACUAGCAUUAUAUCUGUCUGAUAUAACAAAAUUUACUUUGAUUUGGGUUAUUGGAUACACAGUUUAUUAUUAUUAUUAUUUUAAACACAGAGGUCUCUUUCUGCACGUGGUUGACAUGCAGGCUCUGCAAAAAAGACUGAAUUAGAGAAUUUGGUUGCAAAAAGAAAUGCAUCGUCAAUUAUAUGGAAAUAUUUUGGCUAUGGACAGUGUUGACCAAAAACAGGUACUUUGUCGUGAGUGCGUUGCAAUUGUGGCAACAACACAAGGCAACACGACCAACAGAGCUGUCCUAAGUGGAAUAUUAUACAUCAUCAACAUACUUGUGGUCCAGCCGGACAACGGAGCCCUACAUUAGUCUGACCGUACACUUUAUCAAUGAGGACUUCCACCUGAAAAGUUGCUGUUUGCAAACUGCAUUUUCCCCAGAGGAUCAUACAAGUGAGAACAUCGCAACAGGGAUGGGAGAAGCUUUAGCUGAUUAAGGCCUAGAUGAGAGUAGUCUAGUCUGUAUUACAACAGACAAUGCAGUGAACAUGGUGAAGGCUGCACCUGAACAAGUGGACCAGAUUGCAGUGCUUUGGCCACAGACUGCAUCUUGCAGUUGAAAAUGCAGUGAAAAAGGAUGUACUUGUUGACUGUGCUGCAGGUGUCUACAAGUUGUUCACUUCUCUCACAGCUGGAAGGCCAGAAGUGCUCUUGAAAGAGCCCAGAAGGAACUCAAUCUACCUUCACAUUCCCUCAUAUCAGAAUGCCAAACAAGAUGGGGUUCCAGACAGCAAGAUACUAGAGCAGCAGAAGGCUAUAACUCAGGUCCUGUUUGAGGACAGGAAGACAUGGCAUCUAAUUCUAACCUGGCAAAAUAUGGAUGUCCUGGAAUCUGUCAGUAAGUCACUGGGCCCACUGCUGGACUUCACAGAUGCUCCGUAGACACCUUCCAUAGACAAAGACCCACUUGCAUGGUGGAAAACACAUAAGCUUUCCAUAUCUCACCAAGCUUGCCUGCAAGUAUCUAUCCAUCCCCACUACAAGUUCCCCCUCAGAGAGGCUUUUCAGUACAAGUGGCAACAUUGUCACUUGCCAACGGUCAUGUCUCAAGCCUGUAAUUGUGAAUAGACUGGUAUUUUUGGCCAAAAACCUUCAAGUUUGAGUGAGCAAUGUAUACAUGCUUAAAGACAAGUUAUUAUAUUUGAAUAGAAUUUAGAUUUACUAUAAUAUUCUACAGUUGUAAGAAAGAAAUGUAUUCAUUUUACCAAGUAUUCUGUUUAGAAAGAAACCAGAUUGUAUACAGUUGAAAAGUUUAAUUUAAUCGGCAUUUGUCUAGCCAUGAUGAUCAUCACUGUUUUCCUUUGGCACUGUUGCUAAGAAAUGUUUAUUUUAAAAACAAAAGUUUGUGAAAUACAUUGGUUCUGUAUUGAUAUUUGUUAUUCAUGUUAAGUUCAUUGGUAUUUAUUGGUUUGGUUUUAUUAUUACAAAUUUAUAAACACUAUUUUGUUUUUGU